rnacentral:tRNA from 2 species
GCCCCAGUGGCUUAACGGUAGAGCAAUUGCUUCGUAAGCAAUAGGUUGAGGGUUCAAAUCCCUUCUGGGGCU